UCCAUCGCGAGGUGGAAUCGGAUCGGUGCGCCGGCGGCAAAACCACGGCCCGAUGAACAAGAACCCCAUAAGAGGCUA
rfam:Desulfotomaculum australicum DSM 11792 genome assembly, contig: EJ60DRAFT_scaffold00056.56